rnacentral:rRNA from 1 species
UGGGGAAUAUUGCACAAUGGGGGAAACCCUGAUGCAGCGACGCCGCGUGAGCGAAGAAGGUUUUCGAAUCGUAAAGCUCUGUCCUAUGAGAAGAUAAUGACGGUAUCAUAGGAGGAAGCCCCGGCUAAAUACGUGCCAGCAGCCGCGGUAAUACGUAUGGGGCGAGCGUUGUCCGGAAUUAUUGGGCGUAAAGGGUACGUAGGCGGUCUAUUAAGUAGUGUGUGAAAGCGUGAGGCUUAACCUCAUUAAGCACUUGAAACUGAUAGACUUGAGUGAAGGAGAGGAAAGUGGAAUUCCUAGUGUAGCGGUGAAAUGCGUAGAUAUUAGGAGGAAUACCGGUGGCGAAGGCGACUUUCUGGACUUUUACUGACGCUCAGGUACGAAAGCGUGGGGAGCAAACAGG